GAUGAACGCUAGCGGGAGGCCUAACACAUGCAAGCCGAGCGGUAUUGUUUCUUCGGAAAUGAGAGAGCGGCGUACGGGUGCGUAACACGUGUGCAACCUGCCUUUAUCUGGGGGAUAGCCUUUCGAAAGGAAGAUUAAUACUCCAUAAUAUAUUGAACGGCAUCGUUUAAUAUUGAAAGCUCCGGCGGAUAGAGAUGGGCACGCGCAAGAUUAGCUAGUUGGUGAGGUAACGGCUCACCAAGGCGAUGAUCUUUAGGGGGCCUGAGAGGGUGAUCCCCCACACUGGUACUGAGACACGGACCAGACUCCUACGGGAGGCAGCAGUGAGGAAUAUUGGUCAAUGGGUGCAAGCCUGAACCAGCCAUCCCGCGUGAAGGACGACUGCCCUAUGGGUUGUAAACUUCUUUUGUAUAGGGAUAAACCUACCCUCGGGAGGGUAGCUGAAGGUACUAUACGAAUAAGCGCCGGCUAACUCCGUG
rnacentral:rRNA from 1 species